UACAGAGGGUGCGAGCGUUAAUCGGAAUUACUGGGCGUAAAGGGUGCGUAGGUGGUUGCAUAAGUUAGGUGUGAAAGUCCUGGGCUUAACCUGGGGACUGCGCCUAAGACUGUGUAGCUAGAGUACUGUAGAGGGAGGUGGAAUUUCCAGUGUAGCGGUGAAAUGCGUAGAUAUUGGAAGGAACAUCGGUGGCGAAGGCGACCUCCUGGACAGAUACUGACACUGAGGCACGAGAGCAUGGGGAGCAAACAGG
rnacentral:rRNA from 1 species